UACACCCUGCGAAGUGCGAUAAAGUGUGACCAUAUAUAAUCCAACACUUGAUGAAAAGGAAGCUCGGCUCCGGCAGCGGAUUGCAGACCUCCCGCCCUCGGGCGGACGAAGGGAGCGUGAAGCUGCAGGGCGGGCAUCCACCCUGUCUAAAGACGGGUUUUCAUACAGUCACAUGGCGGCUUUGUGGGGUAUAU
rnacentral:other from 1 species